rnacentral:rRNA from 1 species
UACGGAGGGUGCGAGCGUUGUCCGGAAUCACUGGGCGUAAAGGGCGCGUAGGCGGCCUGAUAAGUUGGGGGUGAAAUCCUGCGGCUUAACCGCAGGGCUGCCUUCUAAACUGUCAGGCUAGAGCACAGUAGAGGCAGGUGGAAUUCCCGGUGUAGCGGUGGAAUGCGUAGAGAUCGGGAAGAACAUCAGUGGCGAAGGCGGCCUGCUGGGCUGUUGCUGACGCUGAGGCGCGACAGCGUGGGGAGCAAACAGG